rnacentral:tRNA from 1 species
GGUUGGCGUAGUCCGCGGUCCAGGUGCCCAGCGCCUUGAGGGUGCUGGUGACCGCCUGCGGGCUGCCGGUCAGCCAGCUCCAGCCCGGGCCGCUCU